UUUAUGGAGAGUUUGAUCCUGGCUCAGGAUGAACGCUGGCGGCGUGCCUAAUACAUGCAAGUCGAGCGAACGGAUGAGAAGCUUGCUUCUCUGAUGUUAGCGGCGGACGGGUGAGUAACACGUGGAUAACCUACCUAUAAGACUGGGAUAACUUCGGGAAACCGGAGCUAAUACCGGAUAAUAUUUUGA
rnacentral:rRNA from 1 species